rnacentral:piRNA from 1 species
UAACAGAUUUGGGACCAGCAGAAGUCCUC